UCACGUACCUAUUGACAAGCAACUCAAUAUCUUUUUGUCAAAUUACUGUUUUAUAAUGCAAAGUUUAACUGGCUUUCAUUCGACUCAAAACUCUUUCAAAGUGAACAACAGUAAAGCUCAAGCAAAGAUCAAGGAAAAGAGGCAUUAAAGGUUAUCCAAUGAAAAAUCAACCAAAAAUGAAAUUAAUGGCCGAAAAUAAAUCUUGAGAUAACGCUGAAAAAGAAUAAGACUUGCUCAUUAAGGAAAUUACAGGUUUGAGGGCUUAAAUUAGAGAAGUACAGGCUAAUCAAAUCUUUCUGAUGAUUAUGUUCGAGGCUGUCUCAUGUACAAUCUACGUCCCAAAGAAAUAAUUUGCAGAAGAAUAUAAUUUGACAUUGUCAUUUAAAACAUUGCAGGAAUUUGAAGACUUUGACAAUCGAUUAGCAACGGAUGAAAAGUGUUAUAAAUGGAGAGGUGUACCACCUUUUUGCAUAUUCAGAAAGGUUCACUAGCGUUAUUUUUUGAUAAAAAAAAUCAUGCGCAAGACAGUCAACAAUAUUCUUAAGAAGUAUUUUCAAAAAAUGUAAGCAGUCAGUUCACAGCUGUAACAAGCGUCGCAACAAAACAAGUUUUUAGAGAAUACCACAUGUGCAAAUGCAUUAUCUGUAAGAAAAUCAAUAGAAUUUGUGGAAUUUUUAUUCAGUCAA